UAUCUAAAUAAACUUGCAAAGUUAUUUUUUUUAAAACAAUCAUCCUAGAGCUUAGAGAUUAAACAAGGUCAUUUUAUUUUUUUCAUCACCAGCUCGAACAUGGCCGGGUUAUUUCGGAGAACGCUUGUCAAGCUGAGCGAACACAAUUUAAAAGGUGUCCCUUAUGAGGUUCCAGAAAAUUGGGUGAAAUCAACUGCAGGAAUGACGAUUAAGUCUACAAUGCACCAUUACAUCCUUUUGCCUCUCCACUUCUUCAACCAUUUUUGGCGGAGGGUGUGCGGCUCUCUGGUGCUUUAAGAUGUGGACCUACAAGGACCCUGAAUGGAGGUACAUGCUACCCGCUGAACAAUGCAAGAACCAACAGUUUCCUGAGCAGAAAUGGCCAGAGACCAGACCGGAAAUUUAAGAACUGUUGACCACAGGAACAUUGUAUAGUUUAAUGGGAAAAAAAACUAUGUUUUAGCUGAAUGAUACCCUGAUCUUGUAAACAUCGGUGUAAGAUUAUUUAAAUAUCAAUAUUUUGUUUUAAGAUCAAACUAAGAAAAGUCUUAACAAACUGAAACUCUAAUUUUGACCUAUAUGUAUACCUUGUGAUUUGAUAUUUGUAUAUUUACAUCAGGAAUUUUUUUGUGUUUGUGUGAAUAAAAUUUAUGAACGAAAAA